rnacentral:rRNA from 1 species
GACGAACGCUGGCGGCGUGCCUAAUACAUGCAAGUAGAACGCUGAAGGAGGAGCUUGCUUCUCUGGAUGAGUUGCGAACGGGUGAGUAACGCGUAGGUAACCUGCCUGGUAGCGGGGGAUAACUAUUGGAAACGAUAGCUAAUACCGCAUAAGAGUAGAUGUUGCAUGACAUUUGCUUAAAAGGUGCAAUUGCAUCACUACCAGAUGGACCUGCGUUGUAUUAGCUAGUUGGUGAGGUAACGGCUCACCAAGGCAACGAUACAUAGCCGACCUGAGAGGGUGAUCGGCCACACUGGGACGGAGACACGGCCCAGACUCCUACGGGAGGCAGCAGUAGGGAAUCUUCGGCAAUGGACGGAAGUCUGACCGAGCAACGCCGCGUGAGUGAAGAAGGUUUUCGGAUCGUAAAGCUCUGUUGUAAGAGAAGAACGAGUGUGAGAGUGGAAAGUUCACACUGUGACGGUAGCUUACCAGAAAGGGACGGCUAACUACGUG